rnacentral:tmRNA from 1 species
GGGGACGUUACGGAUUCGACAGGGGUACUUGAGCUUGAGCUGCGCGUCGGAGGGAUCGGCUCCGUCAGAAACGUCAAGCCAAUAAUAACUGGCAAACAAGAACAAAACUUAGCUUUCGCAGCGUAAGCUGACGAAACUGCCUUUACUGUCUAUCGCCCAUGUAGUACGGAUAAAGGCUCAACUUUAGUGGGAUACGUCUUUUCGCUUCCUUCUGUAGCGAGAGAAAGAGAUUAAUCAGAAUAGCACGCGGGACGCCUUGAUUGGUGGCAUAACGACGUGUGAAAUGUAAGUAAUCAAUCUACACGCGUAGACGCUUGGGUGGCAGGGCCUUUGGACGCGGGUUCGACUCCCGCCGUCUCCAUAA